AUUGAACGCUGGCGGCAGGCCUAACACAUGCAAGUCGAGCGGAUGAAGGGAGCUUGCUCCUGGAUUCAGCGGCGGACGGGUGAGUAAUGCCUAGGAAUCUGCCUGGUAGUGGGGGAUAACGUCCGGAAACGGGCGCUAAUACCGCAUACGUCCUGAGGGAGAAAGUGGGGGAUCUUCGGACCUCACGCUAUCAGAUGAGCCUAGGUCGGAUUAGCUAGUUGGUGGGGUAAAGGCCUACCAAGGCGACGAUCCGUAACUGGUCUGAGAGGAUGAUCAGUCACACUGGAACUGAGACACGGUCCAGACUCCUACGGGAGGCAGCAGUGGGGAAUAUUGGACAAUGGGCGAAAGCCUGAUCCAGCCAUACCGCGUGUGUGAAGAAGGUCUUCGGAUUGUAAAGCACUUUAAGUUGGGAGGAAGGACAGUAAGUUAAUACCUUGCUGUUUUGACGUUACCAACAGAAUAAGCACCGGCUAACUUCGUG
rnacentral:rRNA from 1 species